GGCAGCAAUAAACUCUGCGGAUCAAGGUUCCGAGGCGCCAGGGAGGGUUACUUCGACUGUUAAUCGACCAGGUCGUUGGUUCGAAUCCAAUCGCCGCCG
rnacentral:tRNA from 1 species